rnacentral:rRNA from 1 species
GGUGAACGCUGGCGGCGUGCCUAACACAUGCAAGUCGAUCGGAGCAGCAAUGCUUAGAGGCGAACGGGUGAGGAAAACGUAGUAACCAACCCUUUAGACUGGGAUAGCCACUGGAAACGGUGGGUAAUACCGAUAAGCUCGAGAGAGGAAAGGCAGAGAAGCGCUAAAGGACGGAACUGCGCCCCAUCAGAUAGUUGGUGAGGUAAAGGCUUACCAAGUCAAAGACGGGAAACCGACGUGAGAGCGUGUACGGUCACAAGGGCACUGAGAGACGGGCCCUACUCCUACGGGAGGCAGCAGUGGGGAAUAUUGGACAAUGGACGAAAGUCUGAUCCAGCGACGCCGCGUGGAGGAAGAAGGUUUUCGGAUUGUAAACUUCUGUCCUUGGUGAAGAGAAGAAGACGGUAGCCAAGGAGGAAGCCCCGGCUAACUACGUG